rnacentral:rRNA from 1 species
UACGUAGGGUGCGAGCGUUGUCCGGAAUUAUUGGGCGUAAAGAGCUUGUAGGCGGUUUGUCGCGUCUGCUGUGAAAAUCCGGGGCUCAACCCCGGACUUGCAGUGGGUACGGGCAGACUAGAGUGUGGUAGGGGAGACUGGAAUUCCUAGUGUAGCGGUGAAAUGCGUAGAUAUCAGGAGGAACACCGAUGGCGAAGGCAGGUCUCUGGGCCACUACUGACGCUGAGAAGCGAAAGCAUGGGGAGCGAACAGGAUUAGAUACCCU